rnacentral:lncRNA from 1 species
GGGAAUCAGCAGAGUAUUCUGAGCAGCAGAGGGACAGGAUGCGACAGUGCUUUGAAAGGCCACUCUGGCUGUGUGUGGAGAAGAGACUGCAGUGCAGCAAGGGUGGAGCCUAGGAGGCAGCUGGGAGAUGCCAGGAGGAGUCCAGGGCAGGGUGCUGGCGGCUUAGCCUAGAGUUAAAAGCAUGGAUUCUAGAGCCAAACAACUUGGAUUCAAAUUCCAGCUCUGGCACUUAAUGGCUUCAUGACCUUGGACAUCUUAGCAAGGCAUGCUUUAGUCUCUUCAUCUGUAAAAUGGAGACCUUGUGGAGGUGGUGAGAAGUGGGUGGGUUUAUGAAAUAUUUUGGAAAGUUGACAGGAUUUGCUGAUGGGUCAGAUGUGGAAUAUAAGAAAAAGUGGAGUCAAGGAUUUUGGCCUGAGCAUCAUGGAGAAUGAUGGUGUCAUUUCCCGAGAUGCGGAGCAUUGGGGAAGGAGCAAGUUGGGGGGUCAGGGUUGAAAUCAAAGUUUGAGAUGCAGAGACCUCCACAUGGAACUAUCAGAUAGGCAGUUGCACAUGUCGGUCUGGAGUUCAGGGGAAAUUUGAGUGUAGACAGGGAAGUCGUCCAGGGAGCAAGGCCUGGGCACUUGAACGAUCAGAGUCAGGAAGAGGAGACUGAGAAGGAGCGGCCAGAGGCAGGAGGAGAGGCAGGAGGAAAGUCAGGAGACUCUGGUGUUCAAGAAGCCAGAGAAGAGGCCACGUGAGGACACAGUGAGAAGGUGGCCAUCUACAAGCUAGGAAGAGAGGCUUCACCAGAAACCAACCCUGAAGGCACCUUUGCCUUGGAUUCCUAGCCUCCAGAACUAUGAGGAACUGAGUUUUGAAGAAGUUGAACAACUAGCCCAAGGUCAAACUGAUACUAUGUGGCAAAGCUGGGACCUGAACCGCAUACUAGUGCCCAAUCUCUUUCCAUAACACCAGAUCGCCUCUCAGAAAACAUGGUCUUCAUUCUCACCAGAAAUCCACCAUCCCUUCUCUUCUCUGAGCAGUUUUCCUUAAAUCCAGG